CAGUCGCCACGGUAAUACGUAGGGUGCGAGCGUUAAUCGGAAUUACUGGGCGUAAAGCGUGCGCAGGCGGUUCGUUAAGACAGAGGUGAAAGCCCGGAGCUCAACUCCGGAAUUGCCUUUAAGACUGCAGAGCUAGCAGGUGAGAGAGGUGAGUGGAAUUCCGAGUGUAGAGGUAAAAUGCGUAGAUAUCAGGAGGAACACCUGUGGCGAAAGCGGCUCACUGGACCAUAACUGACGCUGAGGCACGAAAGCUAGGGGAGCAAACAGGAUUAGAUACCCCUGUAGUCCCUGUCUCUUAUAC
rnacentral:rRNA from 1 species